AGGAACAGCAUGUUGUGGUUCCAUGUUCUACUAAAAUUCUGAAGGGUCUCCUGUGUCAUCAAAUGUUUGACUACUCACCUGAUGGCUCCCGGCCCGACCCACCCCAGCGGUCUGUCUCUCACCCAUCUGGCCUCUGACCGAGACGGCUCAUCACCCCAGGCCCAGACCCAGGAGCAUGACCCCAGCCGGCUCAUCACCCAGAUCCUUGGAGUAGAUCACUCAGGACUCAUUGCGACCAGCUGGGCACAGCAAUGGAAUGUGCCUUCUGGCCUUGCAUACUUUUGACAACAGGAGAGGCAAGUUUUCCUAGUCUUCAUUCUGAUAGUGGAGACAAAAAGAGUAGGGUGACAAUUACUACUGGAUUGCAGGACAAAGGAAGAAAAAAUGAGAAGAAAUUAAAACUCAGCCCUCCUCUCUAUCUACUUAAAAUGUAGCUCAGAUGAGUACUUCAUUCAUAAAGGGAUAGGAAUCAGAGAAAGUAACUUGUCUUAUAUUCAACCUCAUAACCAAUUCCAAGAAGUCCCUACAAAGAAACAUACAAAAGCAAGGGUGUAUAAGGUCCAUCAGCUAGAAGAGGCAGAUAUAAU
rnacentral:lncRNA from 1 species